GUAACAAGGUUUCCGUAGGUGAACCUGCGGAAGGAUCAUUACCGAGUGUAGGGUUCCUAGCGAGCCCAACCUCCCACCCGUGUUUACUGUACCUUAGUUGCUUCGGCGGGCCCGCCAUUCAUGGCCGCCGGGGGCUCUCAGCCCCGGGCCCGCGCCCGCCGGAGACACCACGAACUCUGUCUGAUCUAGUGAAGUCUGAGUUGAUUGUAUCGCAAUCAGUUAAAACUUUCAACAAUGGAUCUCUUGGUUCCGGCAUCGAUGAAGAACGCAGCGAAAUGCGAUAACUAGUGUGAAUUGCAGAAUUCCGUGAAUCAUCGAGUCUUUGAACGCACAUUGCGCCCCCUGGUAUUCCGGGGGGCAUGCCUGUCCGAGCGUCAUUGCUGCCCAUCAAGCACGGCUUGUGUGUUGGGUCGUCGUCCCCUCUCCGGGGGGGACGGGCCCCAAAGGCAGCGGCGGCACCGCGUCCGAUCCUCGAGCGUAUGGGGCUUUGUCACCCGCUCUGUAGGCCCGGCCGGCGCUUGCCGAACGCAAAUCAAUCUUUUUCCAGGUUGACCUCGGAUCAGGUAGGGAUACCCGCUGAACUUAAGCAUAUCAAUAA
rnacentral:misc_RNA from 1 species